UGGUGAUCGCUGGUGUGCCGUCUUUGGCACACGGGAGGAAAGUCCGGGCUUCUAAGGGCAGGGCGCUGGGUAACUCCCAGGAGGCGCAAUAGCGUUUACGGAAAGUGGCACAGAAACAGAACCGCCGAUGGUCGUCAAGACACAGGUAAGGGUGAAAACGUGCGGUAAGAGCGCACGACUUAUAGUGGUGACACUAAAGUGGCCAAACCCCGCUCGAAGCAAGGCCAAAUAGGAGGAUAGAGAGUAUUAACUACUUUCAGGAAUGUCCUUUCCAUCCUCGGGUAGGCCGCUUAAGUUAAUCUGGUAACAAUUAACGUAGAUGGAUGAUCACCCCCCUAUUUAGGACGACAAGUUGUCCGAAAAGGGUACAGAACCCGGCUUAUAAGU
rnacentral:RNase_P_RNA from 1 species